CACAUCACAUUUACUAUAUAUAUAUGUAUGUAUAUUUACAUAUGUAAAUUACUUUUUAUAUAAAUUUUAUAUAUAUUUUUUACAUAUGUAAAUUACUUUUUAUAUAAAUUUUUAAAAUUCUAAAAUGACUUAUUAUUUAAUUAAUAUGUAUAUAUAUAUGGUAAUUACCAAGAGUACUUUCAGUGUACGCACCCAAAGACCAAUAUGCACCCGUAUAUGUAUAUGUACGUAGAUACAUGCAUA
rnacentral:lncRNA from 1 species